rnacentral:tRNA from 1 species
GCUAACGUAGCUUAAUUAAAGCAUAACGCUGAAGAUGUUAAGAUGAACCCUAAAAAGUUCCGCCAGCA